rnacentral:lncRNA from 1 species
CCGAAAGGGCAGAGAGACUGUUUCCACUCGACCCUCGGCUCAGUGAAGGAAAGGAAAAACAAAAACAUCUUGGAAUCAGCCUAAGUAUUCCUUUUUUCUUUUCUUUUUUUUCUAUUCAUUUUAUCUAAUUUAUUUUUCUGGCUUGGCUAGGUGGGAUAGCCGAGCCAUUCCCUUUUCUUUCGGAUAGCAGGUUGGGUAAAACCACUAAAGAAAAAAAUCUAUUCAAUUAGCA